UUUUUAAGUUUGCCUUGAGUCUUUACAUGUGUAUGUGGAUUCAGAUGCUAUACAUAAAGAUUCAAGAAAAUGAGUGGUUAGGUUUAUUCACUCUUGAGAAGUAGAUUCUGUAAGUUCAGGAUAACACACACCCAAGUUUUGAUGCCAAGGCAGCGCCGACUCCGGAAGAAGCUGAGAAGAGUGAAAACUAGUUCCUGUUCUAACAAGUGCCCUGCACUCUUCAAAACAAGAUCAAAGAAGGUGGAGGGACUAGUCCAGAUUCAAGAGACUAGAGAGGCAUGACAUCUGAAUGCAGUUCAUGAUCUAUGUUGGUUCCUGGAUGCUAUGAAGGACGUUACUGGGGAAACUGGAAGAAUUUGAAUGCAGCACAUAAAAUUAUCAUGCAUCUAGCAUCUCACCCAGACACUGAAAAAUGAUGAAUCCACAGAACCCUGACACUGGAAAGGAAGCGUAAGCAGCAGCCAGAACCUGAGAGGAAACAUCAUUAAGUGAAGAUCUCAUGGAGCUCAGCUGAAAAUCCCUGUCGGGAGCAGUCACAGCUUUGCCCCCUGGCAGGAAAGAUCCUGCUGGUGACUGAGAGAAGCCUCUGCCUACUCCCUGGUUCAAGAAUUCAAGACGGUUGCCAGCUAGAGCACAGGACAGCUGUGCUUGCAGCAAGCAGAAGUUCCCAG